UACGGAGGGUGCAAGCGUUAUCCGGAUUCACUGGGUUUAAAGGGUGCGUAGGCGGGCAGGUAAGUCAGUGGUGAAAUCUCCGGGCUUAACCCGGAAACUGCCAUUGAUACUAUCUGUCUUGAAUAUGGUGGAGGUAAGCGGAAUAUGUCAUGUAGCGGUGAAAUGCUUAGAGAUUACAUGGAAUACCAAUUGCGAAGGCAGGUUACUACUAGUGGAUUGACGCUGAUGGACGAAAGCGUGGGGAGCGAACAGG
rnacentral:rRNA from 1 species